GUGAGUGUGCUGGUGAUUUGUGUGUGGAGUUUUAAAUUAAGUUGGAGAGUGGUGGGCUUAGGGUCUCUUGAUAAAUGGAUAUGGGAAUGGGCUUUUAAAAGUGGGUUAAUAAUGUUUUGGGCUUAUUUUUAUUGUGGAUUUGAAAUGAUUAGCCAAUAAAUUAUGGUAGUAAUAAUUCUUAAUAUGAUUUCAAAAUUUUGUAUUAAGUUGAAUUUAUUUUACAAGAAAAUAUUUUAUUAUUUAAAACUAUUAAACCAAUGAUUUCUACAUUAUCUUAUAGAAUAAAUUCAUAAAGUUUAAAUUAUUUUAUAGUUCAAAUAGGCCCUUAUAUGUUAUUAUUUGAAUUUAUCUGACUAGGUGCGGCGCGACUAGGAUAUGAAUUUUAAUUGUAUUACUCAAGUUAGCAUUCAAGUUGAAGUUCAAGUUCAAGUUAAAUUUCCAGUUUCAGGUGAUUGAUAUCGGAGGCGCGUGGAGAGUCGAAUGGGCGCGUCGAAUCUAUUUAAAGAUAAAUGUUUCCUAAAACAUAUUAUGUUAUUUCAUGUGAUAUCUCUUGAUUAUGUAAACUCUGAAAUUCUAUACUAUUUGAGAUUUGUGUGUGAUUUGUUUAAAUAAAUGUUAUUAUAUUAUUUUAAUGUCA